GACGUAGGGCGCGAGCGUUGUCCGGAUUUAUUGGGCGUAAAGAGCUCGUAGGCGGUUCGUCACGUCGGCUGUGAAAUCCCGAGGCUCAACCUCGGGUCUGCAGUCGAUACGAGCAAACUAGAGUGUUGCAGGGGAGACUGGAAUUCCUGGUGUAGCGGUGAAAUGCGCAGAUAUCAGGAGGAACACCGGUGGCGAAGGCGGGUCUCUGGGCAACAACUGACGCUGAGGAGCGAAAGCGUGGGGAGCGAACAGG
rnacentral:rRNA from 1 species